rnacentral:rRNA from 1 species
UGCAAAAAAAGAACUGCUAAAUCCGAUCCAAUUUUUAGUAAUCAAUUAGUUAACAUGGUGGUUAACCAUAUUAUGAAAGACGAAAAACAUUGGCUUAUCAAAUUCUAUAUCGAGUCGCGCAAAAGAUUCGACAAAAGACAGAAACAAAUCCACUAUUGGUUUUAUGGCAAGCACCUGUCAGUCAUCAACACUCGUAGUUUUGGCCGAUUCUGGCCCGUUUCAUGGACUAUUACUCACUGUUUUGGGGUUUCGGAGUGA